UGCACUAAAAAGCUGAUCCUGUACAUGUAUAUCUUCAACUGGACUAAUCAAAGGAGACUCAGGUUGCUGCCGUCUAAAAUCAGCCCCAUCAUUCAAAUUAUUCAGUGCAUCGACAUACCUUCUCUCAGACUCCCUCUCAUCCCCAUCAACAUAAUGUGAUGAACCGUCUUGGUCCGGAUGUGAAAACAGAAAAAUCCUAAGCCUAGUGAAUCCAUCCCCAGAACCCAACUUCUCAUACUCCUCCAUCAUGUUAGUCACAUCAUCAUCAUUCACAACCGACACCAAGGCAUCAAGAUCCUCAUCAGGCUGUUGAUAUUUCAAAAUAG
rnacentral:misc_RNA from 1 species